GAUUUGUUGAUUCGUCCGAAUCUUAAAAAGCUAUACGGACAUAAAAAAACAUACUUGGAUAUCAAAAAUCCAAGUGGCGAAGC
rnacentral:ncRNA from 1 species